UGUGGUGUGGCAUGGGUGCAGGUGCCACUCUGCAGCCUCCUCUCUGCAGCUCUCCAGCUCCACCUCCUGCCCCACUUCCAUUGGCAGCGCUGAGACCCAGCCACAGCCUGACACUAGCUGCCGGGACAUGGGGCUGCUGCGGGGUGUCCACAGGAGGCAUGGGAGAGUGCUGCGGAGUGCCCAGCAUGGGGCACCGGCUGCCUGGCUGCAGGAGGCUGCCACCGUGCUGCAGCUAUCUCCCAGGUGAUGCUGGCUGCCUCCAAGCCUGGACCUGGGAUGCUGUGGCCCCCCAAAUCAUGGCACAGCUGUCACACCACAGCCUGGGGAGGCUGGUGACACUCCUGUGAGCUCUGUUCCUUCAUGCAGCCUGGCUCUGGCCACUCUGCAGCCUCUGGAGCAGCCUGGCACUGAGCAGGUACCUGAACACAGAUGGCAUUGGCAAUGGAAAGAGUGGGGGUGGUGCCUGUGAAGCUGGCAGGGUAUGCCGGUGAAGAUACGGGACUGCAGAGACCAUUUGCUACAAAACAGGCUGUCCUGCAGAUCUUCAGGUUUCUCUGGAUGUGACAAGUCAAGUGGCAUGAGCAGAUAAUGCCUGGGGAGCACGUGUCUGUGUCCUUUCCAAAGGGUUUCUGCAGUGGCCUCCCACCCCAGGGGCUCCUGGCCCUUAUCUCCGCACGCAGAGCUGUGCCCUGACCUCACACCAGGCUGAGCCCGGCGCCUGGGCCCUGGAUAAGGAGCCAGCCAGGUGAGGGGACCCUGCUCCGGGGGCCUCUCCUCACAUGGCACGGCACGGCUCGGCUCGCUCCGGUGACUUUACUCCUUCGUGAACACUUAGCCAAGGCUGUGAUGGACACCCAAGAAGCAACCCACAGCCCUUUCUCCUGCUCCCACCCAGGGCUGUGAUGGACACCCAAGAAGCAACCCACAGCCAUUUCUCCUGCUCCCACACAGGGCUGUGAAUCACAAGCUGGGAACUAUGGUCCCAGUACACUGCUCAGGGCUGUUACACCCCAGGACAAUGUACCAGUACUUCCUUUUCCUGUUCUUCCUUUCCUUCCAUCCCCAUCAAUGCCAAGAUCAAAUCCUGGGUGAAGAUCCAUAUGAAAUGCCCAAAGACUACCAGGAGGUCUACAGAGGGACAAGAAAUGAUGUCAAAGAAAUCCCCAAGAUUGCAAAGCCCUUCAUUUCUGAGAUGAUUUUUGUGCAAACCAGCAUCACUGCUAUAAGGAAAGGUGCCUUCAGUUACAUGCCCAACCUGAUCAAGAUUUUGUUUAUUGGCAACAAGAUCAAGACAGUUGAACCCGGAGCCUUUGAUAAUUUGGACAAGCUGAGGGACUUGGACAUCUCUGGUGCCUCGUUAGAAGAACUAUCUGUGGGCACUUUCCAAAGCCUCCCAAGCUUGCAGAGGCUGGAGCUGAGAGAUAGCCAGCUCAGGUACAUCCCCAAAGGCCUGUUUGAUGGGCUGGAAAAUUUGGGAGAGCUCUCCCUGCACAGCAAUGCAAUCUCUUCUCUUCCAGAAGGCAUUUUUGAUUCUCUCAUCAAUCUGACUUUUUUGGACCUGGCUAGAAACAAGAUCACAGCUCUUCCUGGGGAUGCUUUUAGGAACCUUGCCCAGCUGCAGGUCCUCCGGCUGUACGAGAAUGAGUUGCAGGACCUCCCAGAGGGGCUGCUGGACAGACAGCCGGGGCUGCUGGAGCUCAGCCUCCAGAGCAACAGGCUCAGGGCGCUGCCACCCAUGCUCCUGAGGAGCCUGACUCACCUGGAGAAACUCCUCUUGGACAACAACCUCAUCAGGGUUCUCCCACCUCAGGGCUUUUUUGGUUUAAACAAAUUGAAGCUGCUGACUCUGGAUUCAAACCUCAUGAGGGAGCUCCCCUGCUGCCUUUUUGACACCAUGCCACACCUGCGGGAGCUGGACCUGAGCAGGAACAAUUUGGACACACUUCCAGAUGGCCUCUUCGUCAACCUUACGUCUCUUGGUAAACUCACUUUGUCCCACAAUCACCUAGCAGCACUGCCAAGAGGAGCCUUCACUGGGCUGAGCAAGCUCUUGGACCUCCAGCUGGACACAAAUCACCUCUCUGCUCUGGAUGAUGAGGUCUUUGCUUCUCUCCCAAAUCUGAAAACCCUCAACCUGCGAAAGAACCAAUUGGAGAGUCUCCCCCAAGGGCUCCUUGACCCCUUGAAGAAGCUCAACUCAGUGUAUCUGAGUGGGAACCCAUGGAGAUGUGACUGCAAGCUCUGCUACCUGCACAGCUGGAUGCUGGACAACAGUGAGAAGGUCAAAUUGUCCAACCAAGUAUCAUGCAAGAGUCCACCCCACCUGGCAGGACAAGCAGUGACAUCACUGAGAGAUGACCACCUAAUUUGCGCAGCUACUCUGCCUGUUUCAGCCUCUUUUACCCCAUCUCUGCAGUUCUACUCCAUAUCAUCACAAGGCAUGUCAACCUUGCUGUCACCUGGAGCUUUGCCCACUGCAGCACCAACCACACCAUCAUUGACAGCCCUUCCCAUUAUGGCACCACCAACCAUGUUGUCCCCAGUGGCCACCUCUAUCAUGUCGCCAGCCUUGCCAACAGAGGCCUUCUUCACCACUCCAUCAACAACCAUGCCAUCUAAGGCUUUUGUCACCACCCCUUCACCAGCUGUGCCGCCCAAGACUUCCAUCACCACACCAUCAUCAGCUGUGUUGCUGAGGGUCUCCAUCACUACCUUAUCCUCAACCAUGCUGUCCAAAACCUCUGUUAUCACACCAUCAUCAGACAUGCUGCCCAAGACUUCCUUCUCCACCCCAUCAUCAACCAGUGUGCCUGAGAUCUCCGUCACCACACCAUCAACCAUGCUUCCCAAGACCUCCGCUACCACAUCAGCAGCAGCUGUGCUGCCCAAGGCUUCCAUCUCCACCCCAUCAUCAGCCAUGCUGCCCAAGACCUCCAUCACCACACCACCACCAACCAUGCUGCUUAAGACCUUCAUCUCCACCCCAUCAUCAGCCAUGCUGCCCAAGACCUCCAUCACCACACCACCACCAACCAUGCUGCUUAAGACCUUCAUCUCCACCCCAUCAUCAGCCAUGCUGCCCAAGACCUCCAUCACCACACCACCACCAACCAUGCUGCCCAAGACCUCCGUUACCACAUCAUCAUCAGCUGUGCUGCCCAAGACUUCCAUCUCCGCCCCAUCAUCAGCCAUGCUGCCCAAGACUUCCAUCACCACUUCAUCACCAGCUGUGCCAUGUGAGGCCUUCAGCCUGCAUCCGACUCCAGCCAGCAUAAGCCGACAGCCUCCUGGGGCCACCAGCCCAAAGCCUGCCCUGUCCGCUCUAGCUUCUGCCACCACAUUGGUGGCAACUGGCCACCUGGAAGCCAGCACCAGACAAGUGCUUCCUUCUCUUCUAGUGCCCACAAAGAGGCCAGACACCAUGCCACAUGAGACACGCAGCAGCUCUCGUGUCUCAGUGCCCACCACGGCACUCCGGCCGUUGCCCAGGACUGCUGCGCCGGGCAGGGUCCCGCUGUGCUCGCGCUGCCCGUCGCACCGUGGCGGGGAGCCGGACCGUGCCGGCGCCGGCGGCUCGCCCGAGCCUGGCACCCAGCCCGCUUCCCACCAGGCUCCCACCCCCGCGGGCACCGUCGUGCCCCCGGCCGCUCCCGGCUCCUCGCCGCCGGCCCAUACGAGCCCCCGGGCCAGCUCUGCAGGCGCGCCCCCCGGCGGCCGCGGCUCCCGGCGGCUGUCCCCGCGGCCCGGCCCGCGGCACUGCCGGCUGGCGCUGUUGCUGGCGCUGCCCGCGCUGGCCCUGCAGGCCGGCUGCACGCUGCUCUGGGCCCUGCUCGCGCAUCUCCUUCGCCAAGCUACGGGCCACCGGGGCCACCCUGGGCCUCCGGUCAGGCUGCUGAGUCUCCAAGCCCUGGCUGCCCCGGGGACCCCCGAGCUGCCCCGGGCACCGCUUUGAGCUUGGCCGGCCCGGCAGUGCCCGUCGGCCUCCCGUGCGGCCGGGAGCUGUGGCUGCUGCCGCGCCUCCCGCCCUGCCCUUGCUGGCAGCCUGCGCGCCCUGCCGCUGCCAUUCUGCCGAGCGACACUAGAUGGCAUCCCGACACAGGCAGAGGCUACGGCUGCUCGCCCGGGGCCGCCGGCGGCGGAGAGGCCGAGCAGCGAGUGGCCCUGCGGGCACGGCACCGAAGUGCCGGAGACCUCGCACCCGGCCAGCUGGAGCCUUCGCUGCACUUCGGGCUCUGCCUGUUCUGGCUUGCAGGGGUUGGUCGGGGCUUCCGCCAGCAUCUCCUCCCCAUCCCUGGCAGAGUGCAAGCAGUCCUUGGGCAGGAGCAGCCCGAGGCUUCCUGCCCUGCACUCCUGCUUCUCCCUCCGGGCUGUACCGGUGCCCGUCUGUCCAUCACAACGCUGACCUCUGCCCCUCUCUGUCUCCCUUUCUUCCUCAUUGGUAGUAAAGCCUCUCCUGCAUCUCUGCCAUGCACUAAAGCACUGGCAGGAGGAGUGUUUGCAUCCCUGGCCUGCUGUGGGGGAUUCCUGGUACUUGCUGGAGCGUGGGGUUGCAGUCGGUGCUGACCAUCACAGAGCAGCCUGGGAGCAGGGUUGCACGCCCUCCUGCAGGCAGCGGCACUGUGAGACAAUACAAAUGCUUUUCUUCCCCCUCUUCAGUCUCAUGCCCCCAAACCCUCUUUUGUGAUGCUGCCUGCCCAGUCCUCUCUGGAAGAGUAAUGUUUGAGCAUGACCAGCCACAUGGUUCUCAUACCAUAACUUGACCUGAUGCUGAGUCCCAGCUGCAGGCUUGGUGUGAACUCUGAGGAAGGCGCUAACUCUCCUCCUAACUGGAGAGUGGAUUGCACCUUCACUUCUGCAGUCCUGGGCUGUCACCAGGGCCAGAAAAGUGCCAAACUUAAACCCAAAAGGCUGAUUCUGUAGGUUUUCUGCCAUCACAGAAACUGCUGAAACCUUCACUGGAAACCUUUAACCCAGGAGAUUUUUGAGCUGAUGAACACAGGUGCUAUUGCUUGUUUUGGGUCCCUGGGUACCUUAUUUUGCUCUAGGCUCAGAAUUGACUUUGUCCUGUGCUAGGCAAACUGCUCCCAAAUGUAAUCACUCCGGUUGCCACAGGGUUGCAAGUGUCCAUCUUCAAGUCCUCACUCCUGCCACCUGCUCUGUCCUGCCCUGCCUCUGGGUGCCUUUCCCCACCUGUGGGGUGUAGGGGCUGCCUGGCUUUGGGGGAGUCGCAGAGGGGGGAACCUCUGGAGGUGUGAUGAGCAAAGAGCCAUGGGGAAACAGCUCGGAAACCUCCUCUUCAGGGAGCCCCCAGAGCCCCAACUCCUCUGCCUAAAGCAAGGCCAAGAGAGGAUGAAAGGGGCUUCCAGUUAGCAUGUGUGUCUGUGGCUAUGCUUUAGAUACUUGGAUAUACGUCUUUGCUAAGAGUCUGUGCAGUGUUAGAGGCCUUUCAGCUGCUCCUUGAAGUCCUGCUGACGGCCGUGAAAUACGUGAGGGGAGCGCGGGGCAGCACAUCUGGGUGCGAUGGAGCGAGCGGCUCAGGGCCGGGGCUGGCACGGCCAGCAAUGGGAUGCAGAUGUGGGGGAGGGAGUGUUUUUCCUGGCUGUCCAGAUGGACUCGACUUAAUACUUGAUUUAGAGGGUUUGAAAGUGGGGCCUGGCUGCCAGGGAACAGACCCCGUGCACUUCCCGGGGCAGCGAGGGGGGGUCUCCACUGGCUUUUCAGAUAUUUAAUGGUCCAGCGCAGUCUAAACAGGGAAGUACUUCGGGGUGAGAUUAGCACAACAUAAUCACAUCUUAAAAGGUCUUCAGAGACACAAGGCACGUCCGCUCUCAUAUUAAUUAACUGUUAUUAAUAAAGCUGAGGUCAGGUUAGAAGUGCUGGCUCUGGAGUGUGCUGAUUCCCUCUUUGCAGGGGGGUGAUGUACCUGAAAGCAGCACAAGGCCCCAUAGCCUCCACCUGUACCCGGUCUGCUCCGGAAACCAAAUGGCCAACAUUCCUACAGCUGCCCUUAAAACUAAUUUGCCCCAUAAUACCUAGAAAGGGCAACAUCUUUCUAAGUGCCCAGAACACCUCAAAGUGCUGUAAAAUAAUAAUAGCCAUGGUGUUCUCAGCACAGGAAUUUCCUGGUAUGAUUGAUUUCUAAUUGGCAGUGAAAAUAGAGCCACCCAUGUUCCCAGGGCCAGGCUGGUGCAGCUGGGUCACAGGCAGCAGUCAGCUCCCUCUGCUGCUGUGGGACCCAUCCCUGGAGGCUUACAGCUUAGCUGGGAGGAAUUAGCAGUCCCAUUUGCCCCUGCUCACUGAUGUCCCCCAGGAGUGAAGGGGCUGAGAGGCAGGGGAAUGCAGGCUAUCCUGGGGGUGAUGUGCCUGGGUAGCCUUGAGGGAAGACAUGCUUGUGUCUCCUGAUUGCUGAGCAAGAGCAGAAAGAGAGCAUGAGGGGAUGGGGCAGAGAAUGGGAGCUCUGCAAUGGGGACACCAGUGGAUAGGGAUGCUGCUUUGGAGCUGCACUUGCUGCCAUGCCCAGCAGAGGCCAUCCUGCCAGGGGGAGGUGUGAGGCCAGGGCAGGCACUCAGGGAGAGCCCAGCCCCAGCACACCUGCCUGCUCUGCUGCGGGCAGCCCUGUGCAGGACAACCAUUGCACUGGGUAGUGCUUGGUGAUUUUUUCAUCUGUGAAUUUCUCUGGUUUCUCUGAAUGCAGGUAAGAUUUUAGGAUCUGCAGGACUCUGUGGCAAGGAAUGUCCCUGAUUGCCCAUGCAGAGAACGAGGCAGCAACCUGCUUUGCUGUCCACCUGCUUGCUGCCCCUUGCAUAGCAUGCCCCUGGUUCUUGCAUUGGCUUAGAAAGAAAAAUGUUGAGCAUCUCUAUGUGGCAUCUCCAGGCUGCUUGUGACACUGUAAACCAUUUCUUCCCAGUUGCUGUGACUGCCUGAGGCCCUCAGGUGACAACCAGCUAGAAGCAGAGACAGGACACUGUAUGUGCAUGUCCUCCAGUGACAUUGGGACUAGGGGUCUCCAGCAUGGCCUGGGAACUUCCCAGCCACUGCUGGCUCUCUUCCUGUCCUGUGCAGCUGAGAUGUGGUUCUCACAGCCUUGUCACUCAUGCUGCAGUACCAACCCAUAACCUCUCUGCCUGUCAGUCCCCCGAGAGCCCCAUACACUGUGGGUGUACUGGCCUGUCCCUGCCACCUGCCUCCAGUCCCCUCUGUGGGCAGGAAGAGGCGGCGUUGGCUUGGCACUGGGUCCCAUAGGAGCAAGGAGGUGCUUGGCAGUGCUGUCUGGAGAGGUGGGACUGGCAACAUGGGACUUUCAGGGUGAGGACCCUGGCAGAGGCAGCUGUUGGGAUCAGUCUAAGGACCAGCUGGGCAGGCAUGGCUGGCACACAUCUAUCCCCCAGUGCAUCCAGCAGAGAUGGCCAUGGGCUAGCAGUUGUUUCUCCAUGUUGCCCUGUGCCCUCUCAAUGCUUGUGACUCUGAACACCAGCACUGCUUCUCUGUGUGUCUUCUAGAUGGUCGGUCUCUUCUUCCCCAUCCUUCACCUGCAGCAUCCCUCCCCCACGGCACCCCAUCCCACUGCAUCAAUGGCUCCUUGCUGAGAAGCCAAGUGAGACACACAGGGCAGGAGCUAAACCUGGAUGUUCAUUUGUCUGCUUUAGCCUUUGGCAUCUCCCGGCUUUCCCACAAAAGGUCUGUGGGAGCCUGACCUCUCUCCCCCAGGGCAGCUGGGGCAGCCAGAGGAUACCCAGGCAUGGGGGACGGCUCAAGAGGGUGCAGGGCAGCACCCUCCGGCGUUCCCAUCCUUGGUGUGACCGCUUCACGCCUUGUGCUGCCCACGCUUUUAUCCGGGAUUUGGGCAGGGCAGGAGAGCAAAGGCAAGGGGAACCCGCAGGCACAUCCUCCCUCGGGCAGUGGGAGCGCCCGCGGGGCGGAAGUCGCCUGUUUGUUUAAGGUGCAAACAAGUGUUGUUAAUCUGCUGCCUGUUUGUAUUUCUUUAAAGCCCCCGAGUGCAAGGCGGGGGAGAGGAGAUGGGGUCUCCCCUUUGUGCGGGGGCAGGGUCAGGCUAUUGGAAGUGUUGGAAGUGGAGGUGAGAAAACACAGAGAGGCAGCUGGAACCUGCUUUGGGAGGGAAAGAUUUUUUUCUGCUAUUUAUGAUAAUUAGUGGGAAACGUUCCUCAAGCGUUUCAGAUGAUUCUGUAAUGAAGUUGGGCCCAAUGUUCCCGCUUUGUUCCCUUGGAACCAUUAAAAAUCCCCCUUCUUUGGCUGCCUUAAUGCAAUGCUGAAAAGGCACAAUGGCAUAAAAGUGGCUCUGGGCAGGACGGCACGCCUCCUGCCCCGCCACAUAGAGCCCCUCAGAGCCCAGAUUUUCUGGGUUAUAAACCUCAGCGCUCGCAAUGUUUGUGUGAAGGCUCCCGUGAUCCCUGCCCAGGGCUCCUUCCCAUCCCUGAUGCCGGGGGGUGCAGCAGCCAGCUUGCACCAGCAGCUCAGGGGGAAACACGGCCACCACACACCGGGCGAGAAAGGGCGGCACAGUGAGGGAUACCACGCUCUGCUUUCACACAAAAGCUGCUUUUGGCCCAUGGUCAUGCCAGGGGUUUGCUGAGGUGGAAUGCUGUGCUGGGAGGAGGAUCGAUGCCUCUGCAGGGGGGAAUGGGGAGCCCGGCCUCAAGGACAGUGCUGAUGAGUCAGGGCUGUUCCAAGCCACAUCCUGCCCUCCUGCUAGGGCCAGGCAGUGCCCCAGACACCAGCGUGGAGCAGAGUGUGUGAAAUCCAGCCAUGACCCUCUGGGUGGGUCACUGUCAGGCUGCAAGAGCUGGCUCAUUCUCCUCUGGCUUGUAGAAGUGGAAGGCUUCUCCGGCUUAAGUGAUGAAAAGAGAAUCUGCCUGCCUGAUCUCAGAGCUAGUUCCCCAAGGAUGAUGUGUAAAGCUAAAGUUGUGAUAAAGAGGGAAAAUAGCAGGAGCUUUUAGCAUACUGGUUGGGGCUGAACGUGAUGGUUUCCAGUGUCCCCAUUACUUGGCUAGGCACCCCAUGGGCACCCAUCUCAGGCACCCACAUGGACUGGUGGUGAUGGGAAGGCAGGAGGUGCUGGACCUGCUGGCCAGGCACCUUCCUCUCAACCACCACCAGCACUAUUUAGACAGCAAGAGCUAGUUGGGAUCAUCAUGUCACCCUUAAUGCACACCUGCUGCCCCAUGGCUGGAGCUGAUGUGCCCCACCAAGACAUUAAAUCAUCAAGUUGAGCGGGAGAGGUUAAGGGCUGGGAGCACAGCUGUCUGGGAGCUGCCCCAUCUUUCUGGCUGCAAUCAAACAAUCAUCUUGGUCUCCUUACUCCAUUCAAUGGGGGAAGAUUUGCAGACAAAUUCCUGCCAGCGGGAUGUUGGAGCUCUCCUGGGUAGUGGGAUAAAGAUACCUGUCAGCUCUGGGUGGCUUGGCCACCAGCUCACACUGGGAUCCUGGUGCUGGCUGUGGGGCUGGUGGCUCUGGGCAGUGUGGGAAGGGGUGGGAGGGCUCUCAGCAGGAGCCGGGGACUUGCCUUUUCCCUGAUACAACGUGUGGCUCGCAGUGUGGGGUGACAUGACAGCUCAGCUGUGAAUGGGCUGGAGCCCUUACCUCUGGGUUCUGUUACAGCAUGUCCUGAAACAGUGCUUGAAUUGUGAUGCAUUUGCCCCGUGUCUGUCUCAGCAAUCUUUUUUGGGGGAAAAAUCUCUAGUAAAUUUUCUAUGGGAGCUGGGAUAGAGGUAUUUGGAUACCUGCAGGCACUGGAAUGGAGUAUUUGACUGGUGGAAGUCUGCAGGCAAAGGUCCUUGGCAAAGUGUAGUGGGUUUGGUUUCAGGGGUGGGGACACGAGUGCGGUGUGCUGCCUGCAUCAUGCUUUAAGCCUCCACACUAAGACAAAUUGCUGUCUUUGGAAAGCUCACCAUGGGAAACCAGAUGUCCUGAUGUGUGAAGGUGGUGAUAUCGAGCCCUGCAGCCCAUGGCAAGCCCGUGCCCUGCCGAGCAGCACACAGUGGCUCCGGCCAAGACGCAGCUCCAGUACCGCCGGCACACCUCCGUCCCUUCUCUCUUCUUCUCCCCCUGCACCAAGUCUGGUGAUUACUUUCCAACAAAUUAUUUCCACGAGCUCUUGGCAGCAGCCGGAGACAAAGGCUCAGGUACGGAGCGGCGGCGUGCUCCUGACCUUUCCCACCGCCGCACCAACGGAGCUGGCAGCACGAGGCGGGCGCACAAAGGCCCGGCGCCGCGCCAGCCGCAGCGCUGACCCCGCAGCCUCACGGCUACCUGCUGCUCCGCCACAAUGGCCCCGGCCCCGGCCGGCCUGCCGGCGCGAUGAAAAAGGGCCCGAGAUAAUAAUGAGCCUGACUACCACUGCUCUCUUCAGAGAACCAAGUCAACUCCUUGGGAAGAAAGAGGAAAGGAGAAAAAAAAAGAAGGGAAAAAAAAAAGAGAAAGAACCCCCCUCUUGGAUAAUAAAGAAGUAACAAAUGAAGACUGAAAGCCUAUAGAAGGCGUCUUAACCCAGCGAAGAAAAAAAAUGUCAACAUCUGUGGAGCUGUCUGCAAAAACAGACCAAACCCCUAAUGAAUACCCUCUAGAAAAGGCAUUCACUGAAGGAAAGGCAAAAGGCUACAUUUUUCUAUGGAGAGAGAUAUUAUCUUGCUCCAAGAAGCUGUGGUUUCUCCUGGGCCAUUUGGGGUAGGUGCCAGCAGUUGGUGCUUGGUGAACCAUGGAACUCAAGCCAAAGCUUGGGUGGAAGCCAGGGUCUAUGCUGCAGGUUUGGGUGUCUUGUCCUGCCAGGGGGGGCCCUACGAGACAUAGGGGUGGCAUGGGGACAGGGCUGCUUGCUUCCUGCUGUGGCAGUCAGUGCAACCUAGGUAAAACUUGUUUCCUGAAGAAAAUUUCCACUCUAAUAGGAAAGAAAUGCCCCGGUGGUUUUGGAAGCACAUCAGAUGCUUUCUGGUGUGGCCCACAAUGUGCACAGCGAACGCAAAGCAUUUGCUGUAGAGUGCAGAGAUUUUCCACAAUAACAACAGAUUUUCUUUUUAAAAAAAUCAUCUGGUCUCACAAUUAAGAAGCAAGAAAAAAAAGCUUUGAAAGCAGAUAUUUUCUGCCUGCCAGAGGCCUGUGCUCAGGCACUGCAGCAACAGGCAGGGAUGGAGCAGCCCCUCCAGCCACAGAGGAAUGAAGGGCAGCUGGUACCCACACCUGGCUCCUGUCAGUGGAUAGGUGCAAUCAUUGAUGCCAUGUGGCUCAAGAUCUCUGGCAUCACUCAGCUCCUCUCUCGUUCAGCACAGGGCAGGGAAGAUGAUAAGUCCUAUGUUUCCCACCAGGCACCUGCUCAGGAAGAUCUGCCAGGGUCACUGAGGCAGGUGACAGCUCUGGGGAGAAAUCGGAGGGGAAUCGGCUCAGGGAAAGGUGAGUGCAACGGGCUGAAAGGCACAGCAACCCUGGGGGUAGCGGCACCUCUUUGGUGCCUCCUCCUGCCUUCUCCCAGGCCUGCUUUUUUUCUCUCUCUGUUAUCCCAAGGGUGACAGCAAAGCCUCCAAGCCCCGUGUUUCCUCCUCCCGGCACACCUGGUUCCCCAGCCUCGUGUGCGAAAGGCACAUUUCCUCACCAGCAAUGUCGUUACUGUAACGGGAACAACGCAGUUUACAACCCAAUAAACCCCAUGUCCUUC